AGUGAACGCUGGCGGUAGGCCUAACACAUGCAAGUCGAACGGCAGCACAGUAAGAGCUUGCUCUUACGGGUGGCGAGUGGCGGACGGGUGAGGAAUACAUCGGAAUCUACUUUUUCGUGGGGGAUAACGUAGGGAAACUUACGCUAAUACCGCAUACGACCUACGGGUGAAAGCAGGGGAUCUUCGGACCUUGCGCGAUUGAAUGGGCCGAUGUCGGAUUAGCUAGUUGGCGGGGUAAAGGCCCACCAAGGCGACGAUCCGUAGCUGGUCUGAGAGGAUGAUCAGCCACACUGGAACUGAGACACGGUCCAGACUCCUACGGGAGGCAGCAGUGGGGAAUAUUGGACAAUGGGCGCAAGCCUGAUCCAGCCAUACCGCGUGGGUGAAGAAGGCCUUCGGGUUGUAAGGCCCUUUUGUUGGGAAAGAAAAGCAGCAGGUUAAUACCCCGCUGUUCUGACGGUACCCAAAGAAUAAGCACCGGCUAACUUCGUG
rnacentral:rRNA from 1 species